rnacentral:tRNA from 1 species
GCCGCUAUAGCUCACCUGGUAGAGCGGGGGUUUUGUAAACCUCUGAACGGGGUUCGAGUCCUCGUAGCGGCU